AUUAGAGUUUGAUCCUGGCUCAGAUUGAACGCUGGCGGAAUGCUUUACACAUGCAAGUCGAGCGGCAGCGCGGGGCAACCUGGCGGCGAGCGGCGAACGGGUGAGUAAUGCAUCGGAACAUGUCCAUGUCGUGGGGGAUAGCCCGGCGAAAGCCGGAUUAAUACCGCAUACGCCCGAGAGGGGAAAGUGGGGGACCGCAAGGCCUCACGCGAUUGGGUUGGCCGAUGUCCGAUUAGCUAGUUGGCGGGGUAAGAGCCCACCAAGGCGAUGAUCGGUAGCUGGUCUGAGAGGAUGAUCAGCCACACUGGGACUGAGACACGGCCCAGACUCCUACGGGAGGCAGCAGUGGGGAAUUUUGGACAAUGGGGGAAACCCUGAUCCAGCCAUUCCGCGUGAGUGAAGAAGGCCUUCGGGUUGUAAAGCUCUUUUGUCCGGAGCGAAACGGCGAGCGUGAACAUCGCUCGCUACUGACGGUACCGGAAGAAUAAGCACCGGCUAACUACGUGCCAGCAGCCGCGGUAAUACGUAGGGUGCGAGCGUUAAUCGGAAUUACUGGGCGUAAAGCGUGCGCAGGCGGUUUUGUAAGCCAGAUGUGAAAUCCCCGGGCUUAACCUGGGAAUGGCAUUUGGGACUGCAAGGCUGGAGUGCGGCAGAGGAGACUGGAAUUCCUGGUGUAGCAGUGAAAUGCGUAGAUAUCAGGAGGAAUACCGAUGGCGAAGGCAGGUCUCUGGGCUGACACUGACGCUCAUGCACGAAAGCGUGGGGGAGCAAACAGGAUUAGAUACCCUGGUAGUCCACGCCCUAAACGAUGUCGACUGGUUGUUGGGGGUUUGACACUCUCAGUAACGAAGCUAACGCGUGAAGUCGACCGCCUGGGGAGUACGGCCGCAAGGUUAAAACUCAAAGGAAUUGACGGGGACCCGCACAAGCGGUGGAUUAUGUGGAUUAAUUCGAUGCAACGCGAAAAACCUUACCUACCCUUGACAUGUCCUGGAGGCCCCUGAGAGGGGGCUGUGCCCGAAAGGGAACGGGAACACAGGUGCUGCAUGGCUGUCGUCAGCUCGUGUCGUGAGAUGUUGGGUUAAGUCCCGCAACGAGCGCAACCCUUGUCAUUAGUUGCUACAUUCAGUUGGGCACUCUAAUGAGACUGCCGGUGACAAACCGGAGGAAGGUGGGGAUGACGUCAAGUCCUCAUGGCCCUUAUGGGUAGGGCUUCACACGUAAUACAAUGGCGCGUACAGAGGGUUGCCAAGGGGUGACCUGGAGCCAAUCCCGCAAAGCGCGUCGUAGUCCGGAUUGCAGUCUGCAACUCGACUGCAUGAAGUCGGAAUCGCUAGUAAUCGCGGAUCAGCAUGUCGCGGUGAAUACGUUCCCGGGUCUUGUACACACCGCCCGUCACACCAUGGGAGUGGGUUCCACCAGAAGCCGGUCGCUUAACCGCAAGGAUGGCGCCGACCACGGUGAGAUUCAUGACUGGGGUGAAGUCGUAACAAGGUAGCCGUAAAU
rnacentral:rRNA from 1 species